CGCGUAGGCGGCUUUUUAAGUCAGAUGUGAAAGUCCACGGCUCAACCGUGGAAGUGCAUUUGAUACUGAAAAGCUUGAGUACUGGAGGGGAUGGUGGAAUUCCCGGUGUAGAGGUGAAAUUCGUAGAUAUCGGGAGGAAUACCGGUGGCGAAGGCGACCAUCUGGCCAGAUACUGACGCUGAGGUGCGAAAGCGUGGGGAGCAAACA
rnacentral:rRNA from 1 species